AAAAGAAACCAACAGGGAUUGCCCUAGUAACGGCGAGUGAAGCGGCAACAGCUCAAAUUUGAAAUCUGGCUCUCGGGCCCGAGUUGUAAUUUGUAGAGGAUACUUUUGAUGCGGUGCCUUCCGAGUUCCCUGGAACGGGACGCCAUAGAGGGUGAGAGCCCCGUCUGGUUGGAUGCCAAAUCUCUGUAAAGUUCCUUCAACGAGUCGAGUAGUUUGGGAAUGCUGCUCUAAAUGGGAGGUAUAUGUCUUCUAAAGCUAAAUACCGGCCAGAGACCGAUAGCGCACAAGUAGAGUGAUCGAAAGAUGAAAAGCACUUUGAAAAGAGAGUUAAAAAGUACGUGAAAUUGUUGAAAGGGAAGCGUUUAUGACCAGACUUGGGCUUGGUUAAUCAUCUGGGGUUCUCCCCAGUGCACUUUUCCAG
rnacentral:rRNA from 1 species